AUACGAAGGGUGCGAGCGUUGUUCGGAAUUACUGGGCGUAAAGGGCGCGCAGGCGGCUUGAUAAGUCAGAUGUGAAAGCCCACGGCUCAACCGUGGAAGUGCAUCUGAAACUGUCUGGCUUGAGUACUGGAGAGGAAAGUGGAAUUCCUGGUGUAGAGGUGAAAUUCGUAGAUAUCAGGGGGAACACCGGUGGCGAAGGCGACUUUCUGGACAGAUUCUGACGCUGAGGCGCGAAAGCGUGGGGAGCAAACAGGAUUAGAAACCCCAGUAGUCC
rnacentral:rRNA from 1 species